UACGGAGGGUGCGAGCGUUAUCCGGAAUUACUGGGCGUAAAGCGUGCGUAGGCGGUUCGUUAAGUCUGUUGUGAAAGCCCCGGGCUCAACCUGGGAAUGGCAAUGGAUACUGGCGAGCUAGAGUGUGUCAGAGGAUGGUGGAAUUCCCGGUGUAGCGGUGAAAUGCGUAGAGAUCGGGAGGAACACCGGUGGCGAAGCGGCUCUCUGGACCACACUGACGCUGAGGCGCGAAAGCUAGGGGAGCAAACAGG
rnacentral:rRNA from 1 species